AUAGUAAGCGUCUUUAUUAUGGUCGUUUCAUUCUGUCCCCGCUUAGAAAAGGUCAAGCGGAUACCGUUGGUAUUGCCUUGCGAAGAGCUUUACUUGGAGAAACAGAAGGAACAUGUAUCACACAUGCAAAAUUUGGGAGCGUGCCGCACGAAUAUUCUACAAUAGCAGGUAUUGAAGAAUCGGUACAAGAAAUUUUACUAAAUUUGA
rnacentral:misc_RNA from 1 species